GUACCCUUGGUGUAGCGGUGACACAUUCGCUACAUCUGUUGACCAAAAGCAGAAGAAUAUGGGAAGGUCCAGGGUUCGAAUCCUUGAGGAUGCA